GUGAGUCGCCUGGGUUGUUCCCUGUUGGUUGUUGUUGUUUUUAGGAGUGAGGUUCGCGCCGUGCGCUGUCCGCUCCCUGGCCUCCUCCUCAUCUACGCCGCCGCCGCCGCCGCUGCUGCUGCUCUCGAUCGUGAAUAUUUAAUGUCGAGGGAACGGGCCGAGUGAAGGGGAGGGAGAGCGCGGGAUGAGUGCCGGAGAAUCACCGGGGCCAGGGGACGGAUGUGGUUUCUCGGGGCUCCCAAGGGGCCGCGCCGCCUCGCCCCCUGCUUCCCGCAGCUCUUCCGCCCAUUAGCGCGCGUGACGGCGGCGUCACAGAGAAAGCUGGCGGGACAUGGCAGAGAAGACGACACGGUUUCAUCAUUGUGCAGAGCAGCUGGACUCCAUUGGCGAGUCUACUAUGGCUGUCAGCAUUUGCUGGCUAAAAUGACGACCAACUCGAGCGUGCUUGGCAUCCUUCACCGUGCUGGACAUUGCGGGUUGGUGCACGCUGGAAGCAGAGAGACUUGUGCGAGGGCU